rnacentral:rRNA from 1 species
GAUGAACGCUGGCGGCGUGCCUAAUACAUGCAAGUCGAGCGAACAGACGAGGAGCUUGCUCCUCUGACGUUAGCGGCGGACGGGUGAGUAACACGUGGAUAACCUACCUAUAAGACUGGGAUAACUUCGGGAAACCGGAGCUAAUACCGGAUAACAUGUUGAACCGCAUGGUUCAACAGUGAAAGACGGUCUUGCUGUCACUUAUAGAUGGAUCCGCGCCGCAUUAGCUAGUUGGGAAGGUAACGGCUUACCAAGGCAACGAUGCGUAGCCGACCUGAGAGGGUGAUCGGCCACACUGGAACUGAGACACGGUCCAGACUCCUACGGGAGGCAGCAGUAGGGAAUCUUCCGCAAUGGGCGAAAGCCUGACGGAGCAACGCCGCGUGAGUGAUGAAGGUCUUCGGAUCGUAAAACUCUGUUAUUAGGGAAGAACAAAUGUGUAAGUAACUAUGCACGUCUUGACGGUACCUAAUCAGAAAGCCACGGCUAACUACGUG